CUAGUACUCCCUCCGAUCCAUAUUACUUAUCGCUCAAACGGAUGUAUCUGAACGUAUUUCAGUGCUAGAUACAUCCGUUUGAGUGACAAGUAAUAUGGAUCGGAGGGAGUAAUUA
rnacentral:pre_miRNA from 1 species